rnacentral:lncRNA from 1 species
GUCCGCAGCUGUAUCCCAUCUAGACUUUUAUAAAGAUCCUCCCCCUUCCAUGGAAUCUCCCGCCAAACACGCUCAAACAGGCGAAAGUAGCACGUGGAGUGAAAUAUAACGCGAGUCUCCGACUCAGAACUGCCCUACAGUUGUAGCGGAGCUGAGAGUUCGCGGGAAAGUGCUGCUGACGGCGCACGGAAAGGGAAGAGGAGGAUCGUUCGACGUCAUUUGCAUGUGGACCAAUAGGAAGCUCUGUGUAUCAUUUUACGGUA